rnacentral:rRNA from 1 species
UACGGGGGGGGGCAAGCGUUGUUCGGAUUCAUUGGGCGUAAAGGGCUCGUAGGUGGCUUUGUAAGUCGGAGGUGAAAUCCCACGGCUCAACCGUGGACACGCCUUCGAAACUGUGAAGCUUGAGGCUGGGAGAGGAAAUCGGAAUUCCUGGUGUAGCGGUGAAAUGCGUAGAUAUCAGGAGGAACACCGGUGGCGAAGGCGGAUUUCUGGACCAGUUCUGACACUGAUGAGCGAAAGCGUGGGGAGCGAACAGG